ACAAGUUGUAACCUAUCAAAUCGAAAUGAGUCGGGCACGUGUGACGAUGUUUUGACUCAUGUAAAUGAUUAGAAUAUUGCGACGAUUGUCCGUUUGAUUGUUUUACAUGAUUGUUUUACGAGAAUUUGGACCAAAAUUGUUGACAGGCGUAUGGGCAGUAGAUUGCUCGCAGAGCAGUGGUUUUGGAAGGUUACGGUAGGCUAUACUUAAUGGUUGAGGACACUUCGAACACGAAAUGUUGACAAAUGACAGUUAUAUAAAUGAAUUGUUCAUAUCAACACUAAUCAGUCGGUCCUCUACAUAGCAGAAACCACUUCAACGUCUAGAACACAACUAGAUCAGUAACCAUGAAGACGUCAGCUUGCCUCGUGCUCCUCAUGAUCGUGUCAUCCAUGUUGGCAGUAGACGCGCAGUGGUUUGGUGGGCCCCGAUUUGGCGGUCCGUUCGGACCGUACCCGUACCCUUACCCGGGGAGUUUCGGGAGACCCGGGUGGGGAUUGGGUGAAGGUCGAGGUCUCGCCUUACUGGGUUCAGCGGCCCUUCUAGGGAGUGGAAAUCAGCUUGGCCAAAUAGUCGGUGGUUUUGGUCUAGGCAGUGCACUGGGUUUCUGGUAAACUCUGUCGGUACAUGAGAUAAAGUUGCGUUUAAAGGUACAGUGUCGUUGCUGUGCGGAUGGUUAUAUGUCUCGAACUAACUCACUAACUCACUUUCUUAACUAGUACGAAUUUUUAACAAUUAUAGGCAUUUAUUUAUUAUACAUAUGUUUGCUUGUUUUACGUGAUCAUACAGGCGUUGCGCUGAUUUAAGCGUUAAGAACUAACUGGCAGUUUAAUGUGCAGGCUAACAUGAGAGUGCAUUCGGCCAGUACCUUGUGUAGAAACAGGCGCACACUUCUCGUCGGAACUUAAUGUGGCGCUUUCGGUUAUUUUUAUGCUCAUCGUUGUUAAAUUUCCGAUAUACCGCUAAAACGUUGUUCUGUAAGUGUAACAAAUGAUUCCAAUUGUUUUUUUGAGUAUGUAUUUCGUUCUCUAAAUCGAGGGUUUUUAAUAUUAAAGAAAUGACAAUUUUUAAUAGGGCAUGUACAAUUCUUUGUAAACAAUCCAAAUACUGAUCCGCGUCGAGAUCUGGUUUAUUAUAUGUCGAUCACAUAUAAAUUAAGGUAAAUAAUGCGAUCACUUGUCUUCAAUGCAUACGUUUUAUAUGAAAACGAGAUACAUGUAUGUGGACGUAUUCAAAUUACUUAUAUCGGACCGAAAAAAAACAAACAUAGACACACGUAUGGAUCACCAAAGUCGACUUGUCCUUGCAACAUAUUAGCUUUUCCAGCGUCCAUGCGUCUUUCUCAAUAACAGUUCACAAUAGUAACAGGUACGACGGAAAAACGUUUGUGAGAAGUAACAAGACAUAUACGCCAUGCUAUAUCAUGUCUAUUUACGGAGCAAUAAAAAACGGCAUUUCGAAAUUGUCACAUUGCUUCAUAUUUAAGGUUUAGGGCCUGGGUUCGGGUUCGGGCCUUAUUACGGACCUAGAUUUGGGCCUCGCUGGGGACAAGGCCGCGGGCUGGCGUAUUUAGGGGCGGCUGCUUUGCUUACCCAAGGAAACCCGCUCGGAAGGGCGGUGGGCGGUCUGGGCUUACUGGGCUUGCUUGGAUAACCGCGACUUGCGCAGUCGCGUGUACGUGAUUUCACCAUGCAGCUUGCUUUAAAUCAUGCUUUAGCCAAACAUGUUCACAGCGGAGACGAAUUUGACAAUUUGGAGCGCCUUUAUCGAAAGUCUUCUUUGAAUGUAUUAUAAUUAUAAAAAAUUCACUUGUUUUA